rnacentral:rRNA from 1 species
CCUACGGGUGGCAGCAGUGAGGAAUAUUGGUCAAUGGACGAGAGUCUGAACCAGCCAAGUAGCGUGAAGGAUGACUGCCCUAUGGGUUGUAAACUUCUUUUAUAUGGGAAUAAAAUGUUCCACGUGUGGGCUUUUGUAUGUACCAUAUGAAUAAGGCUCGGCUAACUCCGUGCCAGCAGCCGCGGUAAUACGGAGGAUCCGAGCGUUAUCCGGAUUUAUUGGGUUUAAAGGGAGCGUAGGUGGAUUGUUAAGUCAGUUGUGAAAGUUUGCGGCUCAACCGUAAAAUUGCAGUUGAAACUGGCAGUCUUGAGUACAGGAGAGGUGGGCGGAAUUCGUGGUGUAGCGGUGAAAUGCUUAGAUAUCACGAAGAACUCUGAUUGCGAAGGCAGCUCACUGGACUGCAACUGACACUGAGGCUCGAAAGUGUGGGUAUCAAACAGGAUUAGAUACCCUAGUAGUC